CUCUUAUCUAGAGAGGCGGAGGGACUGGCCCGAAGAUGCCUCGGCAACCGAUAGAUCAGGUGCCAAUUCCAGCAGGGCUGUUUGCCUUGAAAGAUAAGAG
rnacentral:ncRNA from 2 species